UUUUUCCUACGGGGGGCAGCAGUAGGGAAUCUUCCACAAUGGGCGAAAGCCUGAUGGAGCCACUCCUCUUUUGUGAGGAAGGUCUUCGGAUCGUAAAACCCUGUUGUUAGAGAAGAAAGUGCGUGAGAGUAACUGUUCACGUUUCGACGGUAUCUAACCAGAAAGCCACGGCUAACUACGUGCCAGCAGCCGCGGUAAUACGUAGGUGGCAAGCGUUAUCCGGAUUUAUUGGGCGUAAAGGGAACGCAGGCGGUCUUUUAAGUCUGAUGUGAGAGCCUUCGGCUUAACCGGAGGAGUGCAUUGGA
rnacentral:rRNA from 1 species